rnacentral:lncRNA from 1 species
UUUUUUUUUUUUUUGGUCAUCACCCACUCACAGAGAAAAAAGUUAGUUUCAUUUAAGAAUGCCCUUGAUGAAACAGUAAAAACCAAUAAUUUUAUUAGCCAUCCACACCAGAAUCCAUGCAUGUUUCACACAGUGUGCAAUGAAGUGGGAGGUCUACACAGAUCCCUUACGGAGCAGAUCGAAGCACAAGAACACUGGAGGGAAAGGACUUGUGCUAUGGUUUAUACUAAGAUCUAGCUUCAGCUUUUUUUUUUCCUCCCUGGGACAGCAUUUUUACUGUGGGAAAUCAGCAAAUCAGCUUCAAAAAAAACAACUGACAGACAAACUAUGGUUUUAAGACUUGGGAAUUUAGCAGCCAUUGUCUCAAAAAUAAAGUAAGCUGGUCACUUAAAGAAAAACAACUGAUGUUUUUUGAUAGCAAUAAAAUGAGCUUUCAAGGAAGAAAAAAAGAAUGUUGGAAAACUUGUAUCUGCAACCAUGAACUUAAAAAUCCUAUUUACAAAUGUGAUGUUUUUGAUAUUAAACAGUGAAAUGUGUCAGCAUGUAGAACAUCUGUGUAACUCAGUGAGCCAAUAUUUUCCAAAUGACCACAGCUUUUUACAUGAGUAGGAGAGCCAUUUAGCAUAUAAAAAAGCUCAGGGAAUUUUAAUAUUACAGAACAAAAAGUCAUUGAUAGCAGAUUCCAUAGCAUGCUUUACCUUUAAGAGAAAAGAAUGAGUUUUGAUAUCAAAUCAAAGAAUAUUGACACCCUUUCAAAAAAAGCAAUAAAAAUAUUCCUCACUUUCCCAACUAUAAGUGUGUGUGAGUCUGAAUUUUCUCUAUAUACUUAAAUGAAAACAACAUAUUGCAGGUAAUAGGAUACAGAAGCAGAUAUAAGAAACUAGCUGUAUUCAAGAAACCAGCUAUAUUUUAAGACAGACAUUGAAGAGAUUUGCAAAAAAUGUAAAACAAUAUCACUCUUCUUUCAUUUAACUUCCUUUUAAUAUCUUCAUUUAAUUUCUUAAAUUUAAGACAUCACUACCUAUAUCUCCUCGAGGUAGAUGGUAUAGAAAUGAUAAAUAUUCACUAAUAUCCAUAUAAUACACAUAAUUUAAGUAUGUAUUUAUAUUCUAAUAAAGAAUAUUCAUAUUAAAAACAUUCUUUUAAGUUUAGUAUAGUUGUCAUAAAAAUGCAUCGUAAAUACAUUAUUCAUUUUAACUUGUACUGAAUGUAGUUUAUUUUAAAAUAAAUUCAUAAAUUUUUAAAUUUCUGAGUUUAACUUUUAGUAUGGCAAAUACAGAUAUCUGUAAAUCCACAUAAAUAAAAACUUUUGGGGGUUCUCAACACUUUUUAAGAGUGUAAAGGGGCAUCUACAUUAAAAAGAUACAGAAAUGUUCAUUCAGCACAAUCCUUCAUUUUUUAGCUGAGGAAACUAUAGUAAAACAUGGAGAUUGUGAUCAACAUUAUCCAAAUCACAAUUAGUAGACAUGCUAAGACAAAAUCAAGGUUUUCUGAGUUCUGGUUAUAUUGGUAUCCUAAGGCUGUCCUCACAAAGCACCAAAAACUGGUGGCUUGACAGAAACACAUUGUUUCACAGUUUUUGGAAACUAGAAAUCUGAGAUUGGGGUGUCAGCACAUUUGGUUGCUUCCGAGGGCUGUGAAGGAGAAUCAAUUUCAAGCGUCCCUCCUGGCUUCUGAUGGUUCGUGGUUAAUCUUUGUCCUUGGCUUUUAGAGGCAUCACCCUAAUCUCUGCCUUCAUGUUCGCAUGGCAUUCUCCCCUGUGAGCAUAUCUGUGUCCAAAUACCCCCUUUUAUAAAGACACUAGUCAUAUUAGACUGAGGACCCACCUUCCUCCAGUCUGAUCUCAUCUUAACAAAUGACAUCUGCGAUGACCGUUUUUACAAAUAAGGUUAUAUUCUGAGGUGCUAGGGGUUAGGAUGUCAGCACAUGAACUUUGGAGGACACCAUUCAACCCAUAAUACCAGUCCAGUGCAUUCUCCCCUCAAUCCUCCUGUAUAUCAAGGAGUAUUCUCUUUUCUAAUUUCCUUUCUUUUCUCUCUCCUGUAUUCCACUCUCAUAGUCUUCCUCUAUACUUAUAUGAAAUGCAUAUAUGGAAAAUUGAAUCCUCAGGAAAGCAAUCAUUAUAAUGGAAAUAGAAAUUCAAAGUCAAGUUGGCUGCAAAGAGGAAGUGCAACAGAAAAUCAUCCUGUGAUGAUUUCAAUAAACAGAGGUGAAGACAGGUAACAUCUCAGGAAAUUAAAGAGAUAUCUCAGAAAGCUAUCAAAUUUGUGAAGGAAGAUCACAAAAUAUUAUCUCAUGCAUUUACAAAAUAUUAAAACUUCAUAUGUAAGGGAAAUGUGAUUUAUCAAAAAAUCCUUAGGUAGCUAGACUGAAGUUUGAAUUCCAAUCAUGUGCCUUUUCUCUCCACUGACUAUGAUUUUGGACAUUAGUGAAAUGCAUUCUUUACCUGAAAUGCUGGAGGUACUGCUGGAAAAAGUGAUAGGUUCUUUUCCCAACUGUGAUAGAACUUGGCUCUCAGUCCCCAAAAGACUGUGCAAAGUAUACACCAAAGUAAACUGACAAAAAAACCUUAUGGAAUCGAAAUCACUCAAUGUGACACUCUAUUGGUCUGAGUUCUCCCAAGAAACAGAACUAUAGGAAUAGGAGAUUUUAUAUAUUUAUAGUUAAAGGACUUUCUCAUGAGGAACUGGCUCACAUGAUUAUGGAGGCUGAGAGUCUCAAGACCUGCAGUUAACAAGCAGGAACUCAGCAGAACUGGUGGUGUGGUUCCAGUACAAUGCCAACUACAACGGCAGGAGAUGCCUGAUGUCCCCAAGUGAAGACAAGCAGAGAGAAUAAGUUCUCCCAGACUCAGCCUUUUGUUCUAUUCAGGCUUCAAUGAUCAAUGGAGGAGGCCAUUUGCUUUAUUCAGUCUACUGAUUCAAAUGUUCAUCUCAUUCAAAACACCUCUCACAGACACACCCAGAAUAAUGUUUAACCCAAUACCUGGGCACCCUGUGGCCCAGUCAAGCUGACACACAAAAUCAUCACAGGCAUGUAAUAUUCAACAAUAUUCUGUGUGGAGAGAGAAAGAGAGAGAAUAAUUAUUAAUGUAACAAUUAGAGAGUUUUUAGCCAGAACACUUUAUUAAAAUCUCAGUUUAGAUUUUUCUCCCUUUAUAUGGCCCUCUGCUAACACACACACACACACACAAGCAUUUUUGAAGAAUUUUUACUCAGCAAUUAUUUGGACAGGAAGCAGGAAUAGUUUGAAAAUUUUUGUCUCUUUCUUUUGUAAAAGAUUAAGCACAUGGAAGAGGCUGUGUUAGCCUGCCUGGGAGCAGAGGAGAGAGGAAGAAGGCAAGGAGGACAAUACGGAAGGGAGAGGAAAGAUGCCCUAGACCAGAAGCAGCACACAGAGGUGGAAAUGGAUAUAUAACCUGGCAGAAAACAGGUUAAAAUAAAUAAUUUUAUAUAAAAUAAAUGUAUAAUAUAAUACAAAUUUAUAAACCAACUAAUUUCUGACCCUUUGUCACAGGUAACAUGGGAUUGCAUUCCCUAAAAGAGGAAGAAGCUAGCUGAGCCAACAAUAGCUUUCUGCCUAGAGCAUUUUCCAGCAAGAGCACAAGGAUGAGGAGCCCAAGCAGAAGGAGUUGUGACCCUGAGCUGCAGAGAGGUCAGCCACUGUCCCAUUGGCCCUCAGCAGCUGUGUUUGCCAGCAAUGAGGCAGCUGCACAGGAAGAAAGCUCAAGAAAUCUUCAUGGGGAUACUUAAAUGUACGCUGUGCUCGAAACACUGAGACCACUCUAGAAAUGCCCUCACAGCUUAAAAGCAAGCCCUUAGACUUGGGGGAAAUGUGACAGAAAUUAAAAUAGAUUUGCAGCUAGGAAAAAAAAAAAAUUCCCAAUAUUUCUUCUUUGAUCAGUUGAGAUGCCUAUUUAUACAUUUCCAAACACAUAGACUUUUCUGUUCUCUUUGCCUUGCUGAUCUCUGUAUGGUAUUUGAUUUAUUAUUUUAUUUUAUUUAUUUAUUGCUUUUUAGGGCCGCACCUGCAGCAUAUGGAAGUUCCUAGGCUCGGGGUCAAAUCAGAGCUACAGCUGCCGGCCUACACCACAGCUCACAGCAACACCAGAUCCUUAAUCCACUGAGAGAGGCCAGGGAUCGAACCUCAUGGUUACUAGUAGGAUUCAUUUCCACUUCGCCACAGUGGGAACUCCUGAUAUUUGAUUUAUUGAAAAUACUUUGCAAUUUGUCUUAUGGCUUAGUAUGUUAUCAAUUUUGGCACCUGAUUAAUGUGUGUUUGACAAUAAUGUGGCUAGAGAAUUGUAGUCUGAACUCUCCAUUUUGCCAGUGUAUCUGGUUAUCUAUAAUACUAAAACAUGCAUAUUUGGACUUUAAUGUCAAUAAAAAUCAAUCAUCUUAUGCUUUAGGAAUGGUAUCACCUUUGGUUGUGGAUAGGUUGUAAAUUGGACACAGGAGAGAUGAGCCAUACACUAGCUGCCAAGAUCACACAACCACACUUGCAGGUGCCUUGUCACCUAUAUGCUACCGAUGCCAUUUCCAGUUGUAUCUGGACCACUACCUCAGAAAACACACAAAAAAAGGCCAGAGAAUUAGAAGGCCCACCAACAGAGACAGGGGGUAGGUGUGGUGGACAUUUCACAACAGGGAAAAAAAACUGUUAAGAUAAACUGAAGAUCAGAAGUGUCUGAAGGUUUCCUUAUUACUAAGUUGGCUAAAAUAGUUUAGAAAUAAAGAUGUACAUGAGUAUAAAUCUCCAAAGAGAACUGACUCAGUUUUGCAACUGAGUGGAUAGCAUGCUAAUAUUCUGUGAUGAGAUUCAGUGGAGGAAAGGAAAUCAUUGACCUGGGAGAUGCCUCAUCUUCACUACAGCCCUGGAACCAUCAGCUGAAGAGUGAGAUGGUACGGGGCUGGGAGCAGUAAGACCAAGAAGAUGAGAAGAUGGACCCUGAUGACGAGCUCCUGCUACCCUCAGGACCUUCCAUCAUGGUCUAAGCCGCAUCAGCCAACACAACCGCAAGGAGGCCACAUGUGGCUGUUUAAUUCAAAAUUUAACUUUAAUUAAGAUUUAAUAAAAAUUAAUUUUUUUUCUGUUUUUUAGGGCCACACCCAUGGCAUAUGGAAGUUCCCAGGCUAGGGGUCAAAUCAGAGCUGCAGCAGCUGUCCGGACUACGCCAGAGCCACAGAAACACAGGAUCCAAGCCAUGUCUGCAACCUACACCACAGCUCAAGGCAAUUUGAUUCGUCUCCCC